rnacentral:tRNA from 1 species
CCGGAUAGCUCAGUCGGUAGAGCAGGGGAUUGAAAAUCCCCGUGUCCUUGGUUCGAUUCCGAGUCGAA